AUUCCUACGUGUUUCUGUUGUGUGUUGUCUGCUGCAACCUGCAAAGCAACGCGUGAAAAACUCACAAUGUCGGUUUCGCUGGGAUCUGCAUCGGUAGUUAAUCCCCUAAUAGAAAGAUAAAUUUAAAAUGAUUGCUACCAGUCCGCUCGCAGAAUGUUUGCUGUAACUACUCAAAUAAUUCCUUACAGACUUACUUAAAAUCUAGCAGAAUAAAUGCAGCAGUAGGUUAAUUGAUACGUCCAGUUAUAAAUCAAUGUCUAAGCGGAUUACAUGAUGUUACUUUGAUAUUGUCAGGAGUUUAUCAUUAUUUACUAGAAUCCAAGAAGGUACUGCUUAACUGGACAUUGAUGGCAGGUUAAUUUUUAAAAAGUUUGUACUUCAAAUAUAGGAACUAUCUUGCUUUCGGCGGAUUAUUCUCAGUUGGAACUUCGAAUAUUGGCGCAUUUGAGCGAAGACGCAGGUCUUUGUUCUGUUCUUAGCCAACCCGAUGGCGAUGUUUUUCACGGCAUUGUAUCGGUUUGGAAAAAGAAAAAGCAAGAAGAAGUCAGAGACGAUGAAAGGCAACAAGCGAAACAAAUCUGCUACGGGAUUGUUUACGGCAUGGGAUGUAAAAGUUAAGCCGAACAGUUGGAAGUCGGGGAAGAAGAGGCUCAACUCUUUGUUAACACUUUCCACGCAACGUACGUUGCUUUAAUUACGUUUCUAAUUAUGUGUUGUGGACUUGUGGGUUUCGUUGAAAAACAAAUUCUUCUGGAUUUGCCUUGUAUACCACCGGUAAGUUCCGUUUUAGGUUGAAGUAAUUUCUUCUCCAUAUUUAUUGCUAAUGAGCAUGGUAAAACAAAAUAAAAUAAUCAACGUCAAACCAUAUGAUUCUGAGGAUGUUAGGGUGGACCCUGUGUUGCACAGCAGUCGUUACUAAUAGCACGAUAAUUCUUUACUUCGAUGUAUGCCCUAGAUUAGGAAACUAAAACACGUAAACGAAGCUCGUGUCUUGAUUAAAACUUAAAAACGAAUUUUGACGAAGUGUAAAUGAGUCUCGCCCGCCAAUUUGAGCAAUAACUCUUUGUCGAUUUAAACUAGAAAAAAGAUUUUAAAGUCGGGGCCGCCUAGUGUCACUUGACUAGAAGCUUGUUUAUAUGGUUUUAAAAGCGAAUUGUAUUAAGGAAAUUUGUAAUUGAGAUGAACUGCUUCGUAGCCGGCAUUAUGAAGUCAAAAUUGUCUUCAAUAUAUUGAUGCACUUGCCUACUGUUAUUUCAGAUUCACAGUUUAUUUGCCAUGCUGGGAUUCGCAUUGGUGAAUAAAUGAAGGAGGGGGAAUCCUGGACAAGAUGACCUUAGAUGUCCAUCAUCAGUGGGGAAAGAAGAUGGAGGAAAAGAUGUCGUGGUUUUUUUUGGCAUUUUUCGAUUUCACUUGGCACGUUGCGUACAUCAUUUUUUCGGCUGACGGCGCGUAUGUUUGUCGCAUCGGAUUCAACGUUUUGUUAAGGUGGCCAAUCAAAUUGAGAGAAAUCCCAUUAGAUCUAAUGAUUUGAUUCUGGACUUGUUAAACGGUAGCAAGUACAUUGAUACGUUCGCCAUUUUUAUUCUGCGGACAACGAAUGCAGACGCUGGUGAUUAUCCUCCUGAAUGGUCUGCCAGUUCAACGUUAUUACGAGAAUGAACCUCUUGUUUUUUUUAGUCUUGCAAAGACUUAAAAAAAGUCAGGUAAGGCGAGGUGAGCGAUUGCUUCGGAGUAUACGCCCUGCGGCCGAUAUUGGAACUAAAAUAAACUUGUGCAUUCGGAUAUCGUUAUUUCAGAUGGAAAUAGAAAGGAGACUACUACGAAACCCCAUGGAAUUGGAGCCGGCCGAUCAUCAUUUGAAGUUUCCCAGUUGAUGAAACAGCCUUGGUACAUGAACCAAUCGGGCACACACAAAAAACGGACAAGAAGCAUAUUGCAGUAUAAUAAUUUAUUUCAUUCUUCACUUUUUUAGGAAAGUUGUUAGGAUGUGUCUGAACAAUGUUUCAAAAAAUCGUGGCGUUAAUAUUUUUCUAAAACAGUAUAUUGUCACGUGGAGAUCACGUGACAUACGCGUGAGACACACCCCACACUCACCUCCUUCUUGGAAACAAGCAAGGGCGAAUGUACGAGUACAUUCGACCUUGUUUUGUCUGAAUGUUGCGGU